GUUUUUAUUGUUGUUACAGAUAGAGAGAGGGAUAUCUGUAAUCAUACUUCGAAGGGGUGUACUCCCCGCUUUCCCUCCCCUCCUUAAAGAGAGCAAGCCAAGAAGCCCUACCAAAAGGUCAAGAAAGAGGAAGAUGACUGGGUGGCCUUCUCAGCCAAUGGAGAGCGGGAAUCGAGUGUCUCGGUGUUGCUAUGUUUACAUGAGGAGGGCUGUUGAUAAUAUAGAGUUGUAGUCUGUCUGGAGAGUUGACUGUGUGUGUGUGGGCUUCCCCUCUGCUCCACCAUCCACUACCCUGGCUACCUUCCUGUAUGGUCCUGUACUAUGCUACGCUAAACUGACAUUUUUGUUCCUGGUUCAGGUUCCUGAGAUAUCUGACUGAUCUAACGAAACACUCAUUUCUCAACUGAACAGAGGACAGUUUUAAAGACGGAUAUAAAGUAUUUGAAAGAAGGAUAUAAAAGACUUGGAAGAUCUGUUCGUGUUGGUUGUUGUCAGGCCAAACAGAACUGGGAACAGGCUAGAAGAAGAGUCCUGCCUUCUAUCCACUCAGUGUUAACCAGGAGAGACAGCGUGGACUGGCCGACCAGAAGCACCAUGACCAGUGUUAACUCCCCCGCCUGCCUCCUGGCUCGUAACCAGUUCUAUAGAAACACAAGAAGCCCUGCAGACAGUAAAACACCUACUACAGUCUACAGCCUCUCUGAUUGGUCAACGCUAGCACCCAAACAAAGACAUGUAACUGUGUGGGUGUCGACGUCUACACAGCCAGGAUUCCCAGGAGCAGGGGGGAUAUCGAGAGGAUGGCGGGUCAGCGUGGUUUUGGGGACCUCCACACCCCGUACGGCCACCGUCAAGCGUCUCAGCCCGGCCAACAGAGCUGUCAAGUAGAGACACACCGUCACCAAUCAGCAGGUUGAAACACACAGAGGAAGAUGAGGGAGAAGACAUCUUCCUCUCUGUUCUGUCCUCUCAGCACAGAAAAUAUGGAUUUGAUCAAGCCAGUUAGUGUUGAACAUGUUUUCUAUAUUGCUCUGGUCUCUACUCUGACUCCUGUUUUUGGAGGCAGCAGGAAGGGCCAGAAAAAAAGACAUUUCUGUGAGCGCUCUCUAAAACAGACAAUAUUAUUCAAUACCAUCACACACAGCCUAGUUAAACCCCCUUCGCCUCCUCCACUCUUUUUUUUGUAUUUAUUUUACCUUUAUUUAACUAGGCAAGCCAGUUAAGAACAAAUUCUUAUUUACAAUGAUGGCCUAGAAAAAGGCAAAAGGCCUCCUGCAGGAACCCCUCUCCCUCCCUCA